CAGGGACAUGUCUAACCUCGGAGGCCGUAGGAACGGGCCUGUCGAAGUGCGCCUGACAGGGACAUGCCACCCCCGUUUUAGGAGAACUUGUAUUUGGUUUGAGAAGGAAUUGGAAUCACGGCGUUAUCCUACCUUCACCAUUUACCCCUGAUAAAUUGUCCACGUUUAUAUUUGGGAAUCAUAUUGACAGGUCAUGAAAAUGAGACCAAAAGAUCUCUGGAAGCGAUUAAUGAUAAAAUUUCAUGGAGAAGAAGGCCUUGACUACGGAGGGGUUGCCAGGGUGAUGACAACUCCGUGAGGGUGGAGAUUAUACAUCUCUCAUCAUUUCAGCAACAAGGAAAUAAAUUAGUGGCAGAGUAAGGGUGACUUGAGAUCUCUUGGAAGCGAGGAUCCUUUAAAAAUCCUGGAAUAUACACUGCAGUAAAAGAACAAAGCAUACCUCAGCCUUAAACGACUGAAGAAGAAUGUCAAGUGGGGAAGUGGCUUUGGUUUUCAGUUUGUGGGUUCUGAAUCCACACAAAGACAGGAUUGCUUUCUGAAAACCUGAAUUAAUUAUUGUCCUUACCUCAAUAAGACAAAAAAUUAGAAUCAAAAUCGUUAGUAUUACAGUCACAGAUAUCACCAAGAUUAGUUUGUUGUUAUAGCCAUAUCCUGGAACUUCUUUCGUGAGCUAAAAAAAAAAAAAAAGAAAAAAGGAAAGAACAAUUAAAAAAAGAGUGAAAGCUAACUUUUCAAAACCCCAGUAUUCUAGUUGAGUAGCUUACAGGUUCUUUUUUUUUUUUUUUUGAGACAGGGUCUCACUCUGUCACCCAGGCUGGAGUACAGUGGUGUGAUCACAGUUCACUGCAGACUCGACCUCCCUGGGCUCAGGUGAUCCUCCCACCUCAGCCUCUAGAGUAGCUGGAAUUAUAGGCACAAGUCACCACACCCAACUAAUUUUUGUAUUUUUUGUGAAGAUAGGGUUUCACUAUAUUGGUCAAGCUGGUCUCAAACUCCUCUGACUUCAAGUGAUCUACCCACCUCGGCCUCCCAAAGUGCUGGGUUUACAGGCGUGAGCUACCAUGCCCAGCCUACAGUUCAUCCUGUGCACUAAUCUGUUUCACUCUCUAAAUGAACAAAGUGGGAGAUCACUGUCAUGGCCAAAGUUACAUGGCCAAGACAAACUAUGGCCUGGGAGUCCCAGGUUCUCCUGUGUGGGCACUUUCCUGGCAUAUGCUAAAUGAUGGGAAAGUCUGGGUCUCAUGUUUCUGUGUGGUCCUCACCUCACUCGACUUCUGCUCUUUCUGUUCACUCUGGGCUUCUGUGCUUUCAUUAAUAUAGUUCUUAGUUUUCCACUGGUCUGUAUCCCAUUCUGCCUUGGACGCCUUUACUUCCUGCUGCUCACUGAGAAGCCUCAUCAGGAGGCCUGUCCUGGAGAUGAGCUUGGCACAGGUCACUUGCACAUAGGUCUCGGAGCAGUCCGUCUUCAAGGUCCAGAUAACAUGAGAAAUGAAGCUUCUCACAUCGUUGUUGGGGAUGACGGACUGUAGUUGAUGGGUUAGCGGAAUUUCAAACUGAUCACCUGGGGAUGAGAGCAAUGGGUAACUGAAGCUUUUGGGCUCGGGGGACAGGUCAGUGCCCACGUUGUUGUAUUCCCAUUUUGUCUCAGUUUGUUUAACAGUUGGCUCUAAGUUGAAUGCAGUCCUAGUGGGAAUCUGCCUCAGGAAGAUGAUUGUAGUUUGUGUUUUCAGAGAUGGUGCCUUCUGGCAUAGUAGUGUUUUCCAUAAAAACGUUUUCUUCAGAGGCAUUUCUUGCAGUUGUGUUUUUUACAGUAGUGUUUUCUAUAAAACAUUCUGAAGGAGCAAAUACUUCUGGAAAAGGGUUUUCUUGAGGACUCAGGUCUCCUGAGGAUGAAAAAGCCCCUUGUGAAGGGGAAUUUAUGAGGCUCUUCACUGCAGAGAACGGCGGCCUCUUUGCGAGCAUCAGUCUAUUGAGAUAACUUUUCUUUCUCAAUUUUCUAAUCUUUUUGGCCUUGGGUGUUCUGUGGGCCACACGGGAGUGAGUUUUAUGAAAGUGGUAUUUUUUUCUGGAAUGUACUACUCGUUUAGCAGCCUUCAUAUUUUUUAACUCUAGCCUUUGCAUUUUCUAAAAUUAAAAUGGUGUAGGCUAAGUCUUUCAAUCUGUCUAUGACCUGAGGUAGGGCUUUUGCAGUUGUGGAAGGCAGAAGGCAUGCCCAUGGAGAAGGGUUUCAGCAAAGAGGAGACUGUUGGCUUCUGCUCUUGGGUGAAUGAAGGCUUGGUGUAGACGGCGUUUCCCGCUACGUUCUCGGGCCCCUGCACUAUGUGAGGCUAUUCCAGCUCCCUUGGGGCUGGACUCCCGAGCCUUUUUUCUUUGGCAGCAUUCUCCCCAAAUGCCUGGGCACCCUGUUCCCUCCUGAUACUCUGCUUUCCCACCGCUUUGAAGGGCCUUUUCUGGAUGCUCCUUGGGCCCAUGAGGACUCUGUUCACUCUCUGCAGGUUUUUGCCUACACUUUGAACCUUUGCCAGGCUGUUUUCCUGUGGUUGGACAGUUUCUAAUUUCUUUUCAAAUAUUUGGCAUUUAAAUUUGUUACCUAGAAGGCUGGACUGCAUAAGCAUGGCAGUUUUUUCUUCCCUUUUAACUUCAUCGAUUUUUUUCUUGUAUUUCUGCAUCUAACAUCUUUUCUAGCAAAUACACCUUUCUCAAUUUAUUUUCAUAAGUUGAAUUGUUGGAUGCAGGUUGAAACAAGGGGCUCUUUGUAUUGUUUUUCAAAACAGGAGCUUAUCUCCAUCUUGCACAUUUGAAAAAAGCAGUUUAAUGAAUGGUAACAACAUUGAUUCCGCAUCUAGAUUUCCUGCUGAGAAAUAAGGCAAGAUGUAAUUUAGCGCAGUGAUAACAUCACUCUUAUCAUAAGUGUCUAGCUGCUCACUCCCAAAGACUGACAAGUUGAUGCCACUGCUGUCUGAGGCUGCCUCCGGCUCAGUAGUCAGCUCAAUGCUCAUGUGCUUCUUCUGGGCUUGUAACACCUUCAUGAACACUCUUUCUGGAUUCCCUACAGAUGCUUCUUCACCUGUCAAAAAAAAGAGACUGCUUUGAUCAUGAAAGAUAAUGGAACGGCAUGCAUCAGUCCACAGCUGUAUGCCCCAGUCACACAAAGUAGGAGUCAGCAAACAUUAGAGUGCCAUUCAGAGAGGAGAAACACACACCCAAGCCUAAAUCUAUGAAAUGGCAACAACAAAAGGAGGAAAAGACAUCUUUUGAAAAUAUGGCUACUUACUUGGAACAUUCCUAGUGUGACAUAGAGUAACUCUGCUUAGGAUUAUUUCGUUGAUCCCCAGGGGCCAAUUGCCCAGUGCUCAGUCAAAGCCCAAGGUGGAAGACAAGUGCUUCCCUGAUGAGCUGUCCUCUCUGCAGACUGCUCCGUACCCUGUGCUGUCCUGCCUCAGAUGCAGAGAGAGCACAAGCCUCCCUCCUCAUCCUCAGUGUGCCUGUGUUCUUACUACCAUCACAGCUGAAUGCAAUGAAAGGCUAUCCUCUGAGAGGAGCAGGGUGGAGAUGCUAAAGUGGAGGCCCCCUCCCAUUGCUGAUAGAUCCUCAUCUGGCAUGCACUCCACCCACCCACCCCAUUCUCUGCUACCACAUAUCGUAGCCCCAUUAAAGAAGAAGUGACAUGGAAAAAACACUGUGCCCACCCUAGUCCUUUUCUUAAAUUUGGGCAGAGAUCCAGGGUAUAGGUUAAGAGAUUUUUAAUUUGCCAGAUGGUAUGCCUAUGUUGUUAAAUAUACAAUGAAUCUAUGGUAUGAUAGCAGUUUCUGGAUAAACAUUACUUGAGGUCCUAAAAUGCAGAAGGGAAAAAGCAGCUUUUGUCAGAUGCUUACUUUGCUUUCAUUUCAUCUCUAAUAUUUUGGAUGGGGAACCAUCCAAAGCUUCUGGCCGCAUGAAGGUCAAGUGUGCCAGUGUGCAGCUGGGUUUCUUUUCCAGAAUUAAAAGUAUUUUGGGUGGUGCUGAGGGUCAGAGGAAGAAGUAAAAAUUGUGAGAAAGGAGAAACAUGGGCUUGGGGAGAACCCAGAAUUGGGGACAGAAGACCUGGCACUAAGCUAUAGCACUUAGCACCUCUGAUCUUGUUUUUCCUCGUCCGUAAAAGGAGAUUAACAAUGCUUUUCUGCCCACCUCUUGGGGAGAAGGGAAUAAUUUAGUUGGUAAAAAAAAAACUUUUGAAUAAUAAGCAACUCUGUCUUUAUAUAAGUAGCCAAGCAUUAUUAAUUAUCCACCCCAUAUCACUGGUAGAUACCUGUAUUCAAGCUAUGUGGACAUAAAAGCAGUCACAUUUUAGAAGUCAUGAAGUUGGUGCUAAUAAACCUAAUCUACAGAAAAACUCUUGAAAGCACUUGAGCAUUUGUUCUGUGAAUAGAAAGGUUUGAGAUUCAGAGCAAGUUCAGAGUUGGAUGGUCUAAGAAUGGAAAAGCCCUCCAUUCCAUUAGAAGAGCCAGGGAGCAAUUUCUGGUUAUGGAACCAGAAGCUCUCAGGCUUCAAAUAAAACAGCAUCACUUGUACUCUUAUAAAAUUGUAAAAACAAAAACAAAACUGGAUCUACAUUUGUCCUAAAAGGCAGAGAGUACUUGAGACCUCAUGCAUAUAAAACCAGCUUACAAACUACAUCGCACUAUAUGAAGAAAUUAUCACUGGGGGCAAAUCACCAAGUAGGGAGCACAAUACACAGGGUGUGGAUGUUAAUGUCAUUCCCUAGCCUUCUCAUUCCCUUCUCUUGGUCCUUUAUGCAUAUGGAACAGUUCCAUUAUUAAAUUUUGUAAUAAUAACUGAGAACCUGACUCCCAGCAAGGGAGUAGUUCAGAAGUUGAGGGAGUUUAAAUCUGAAUGAGUAAAUAAAGCAAUUAUAUCAUUAGCUUAAAAUUUUAUCAUCAAUUAAAAAUAAAUUUAAAAACAAAUACUUAAAAUAAUGUAACAAUUUAUCACCAGGCAAUUUGGACUCACGACAAUGUGUGGUGUUUGUCAGACAUGCACUGUUGCAAUGCAGCUUGACUGUCUUGCAGACAGCCUCAAUGCUAUUUUUAAAUUGGCAGAGGCAGCAGGCCAUAUGGCUAGGUAAGAUCCUAUAAGAUGAAAACACAAAACAAUAAAUAGUGGUAAAGCAGUUACUUGAGUAGGCAAAGGAGGCAGGCCAACGCUACCACAGGGCUGGGCAGAAAGGUGUUACUGAGGCCUGUGGACUGGACAGUUGGGUAGGAACCAGAAGGGCAAUGGGAAGGAGGACAAAGGUGCCCAACUGAAGGGUAAGCAUGGCAGUGAGUAUGGUAUGCCUAGAAUAAAAGUGGUUGGGAUUAGAAUUGGGUGACACUGAUCAGUAGUUUAAUUCAGAAGUAUCUCUUCCCAACUCAAAAGUCUCACUUUGGGCUGAAAGUACACAGGAAGAAAGUAGACUUCUAAGAAGAGUCUGAAUAAGCCCCCAACUUCUGGAGUCCCUUUCUCAAUUUCUGUUGGCAGUGGGAAAUAUUAGAAAUUACUCUGGGCAUUAAAAAUAGCUCAGUUUAACCUGGAUUGUGGGGUUAAAAAAAUAACAGAUUGCAUUGGCCAAAUCUCGACAAUUUGAGCAUUCAAAAGAGUAACAAUAAGCUACAACAUAAUUAAUAUAUAAAAAAGAAUCCAUGAAGAAUGAUAUUUAAAAAGAGAGGGAGUUGUUCUUUAAUGAAAUAAUGCCAGCUAAUGAAUGUAGAAGGAAUGACAGAAUUUUAAAAAGUGUUACUUUGCAACCACCAAUGUAAUAAAAAUUGAUUCAGACAAGGAUUGUCAUUGAUGGACACAGCUGGGUGAGAAGACAUUUGAGAACAGGAUCUUUACUGAUCUCAAAGUACCACCACACAGAUAUUUUAUUAAUUACCAAAGGGAAAAAUUAUUUUUUAUUUUUUUAUGAGACAAAGUCUCACUCUGUCACCCAGGCUGAAAUACAGUGGCAAAAUCGUAGCUCACAACAGCCUCGACCCCCACCCUGGGCUCAAGUGAGUCUCCAAAUUCAGCCCCCCAAGUAUAUGGGACUAUAGUCUUGUACCACCACACCCAGCUAAUUUUUUUUUUUUUUUUUUUUUUUUUUUGUAUUUUUAGUAGAGACAGGGUUUCACCUUGUUGCUCAGGCUGGUCUAAAACUCCUGGACUCAAGCGAUCUGCCCGUCUCGGCCUUCCAAAGUGCUGGGAUUAUAAGCAUGAGCCACCACACCCAGCAAAAUAACUACAAUGGAGAGAUCUGGAAGAUCACCUUAAACAAGUGAUCAAACUUAGCAUUAUGAGCCACCUGCAAUCACGAGGCAGGAAGGAUAUAUCACCUAUGCAGUAUUUUUCCCAAAAAUGCUUACCUUGAAUCUCAUCAUGUGGAAACAGACAAAUCCAGAUUAUGGGACAAUUUACAAAACAACUAUCUUUGACUCUUAAAAAAUGCCAUGUCAUGAAAGAUCAAAAAAAGUAGAGGAAUGUUUUAGAUUAAAGGAAAUGAAGACAUGACAUGCAGUGCCUAAUCUUUGAUUGGAUUCUGUGCUAUUCUUUCAUCUUUCUGGUAUGUUUGAAUUUUUUUUGAAAUAUAAACUUGGGCAAAAGAGAUAACCAAGAUAAUUGAUUAAUUUAUUGUUAUGGCUCAUUGGGGGCAGUUUCAGAGAAAUAAAAACAAUCUUUGUAACUGGAGUAAAUUCUCAAGGUUAAUCUUAAGCAAUAUAGCAUGGUCAUUAAGAAUACAGAUUCCACAGCCAGACUAGGCUUAAAUCCCAGCUCUGUGAAUAAUGUGAAUUUGGGCACAUUGAUUAAUCUCUGUUCCUUGGCCUUGUCAUUAUAAUAGUACCUACCUCUAAUGAGUUUUGAGGAUUAGAUGAAUCAGUACCUGAAAAAUGCCUGACA
rnacentral:lncRNA from 1 species